ACGCUGGCGGCGCGCCUAACACAUGCAAGUCGAACGAGCGAGAGAGAGCUUGCUUUCUCGAGCGAGUGGCGAACGGGUGAGUAACGCGUGAGGAACCUGCCUCAAAGAGGGGGACAACAGUUGGAAACGACUGCUAAUACCGCAUGACGCAUAGAGGUCGCAUGAUCUUUAUGCCAAAGAUUUAUCGCUUCAAGAUGGCCUCGCGUCUGAUUAGCUGGUUGGCGGGGUAACGGCCCACCAAGGCGACGAUCAGUAGCCGGACUGAGAGGUUGAACGGCCACAUUGGGACUGAGAUACGGCCCAGACUCCUACGGGAGGCAGCAGUGGGGAAUAUUGGGCAAUGGGCGCAAGCCUGACCCAGCAACGCCGCGUGAAGGAAGAAGGCUUUCGGGUUGUAAACUUCUUUUAAGAGGGAAGAGCAGAAGACGGUACCUCUAGAAUAAGCCACGGCUAACUACGUG
rnacentral:rRNA from 1 species